rnacentral:piRNA from 1 species
CUCCUCUAUAAGUUUCAGUGUCGCUGGUU